AAAAGGGAAAUACUAUUUCCUUACAACUUCAAGGCUUGGAAAUGGUUCACCGCCAAGACUCGGGGUGAUUGGAAGCCAGAGCUUACAUUUAAACAAAUAAAUUGCUUGAGGCAGGAACACGGAACAAUUUAUGUGGAUA